rnacentral:rRNA from 1 species
UACGUAGGGUCCGAGCGUUGUCCGGAAUUAUUGGGCGUAAAGGGCUCGUAGGCGGUUUGUCGCGUCGGGAGUGAAAACCCGAGGCUCAACCUCGGGCCUGCAGUGGGUACGGGCAGACUAGAGUGCGGUAGGGGAGAUUGGAAUUCCUGGUGUAGCGGUGAAAUGCGCAGAUAUCAGGAGGAACACCGGUGGCGAAGGCGGUUCUCUGGGAAUAUUCUGACGCUGAGGAGCGAAAGUGUGGGGAGCGAACAGG